AGGCACUAUGGACGGUUCGCACCGACGGCGGAGAGACGGAUCAGGUGCCUCCUCGGACGGGGGCAGGAAAGGGUCGGGCAGCCCGAACGGCUCGCAGAGAAACAUGGAGUGGGAGACGGCGAAGGUAACCUUUGCAGCGCUGGCGUCGGCGAUUCAGUGACGACGCCGUUCUUCUUCCAGACUCGGGCAACACCGCAGACGCUAGGGUAGCUCCUCGCAGCGGUGGCCACGCAUCCACGGCGCGGCUUUUAAACGCUCGUUGACCCCGUUGGACGCGUCUGAGGUGGACCGUGAGCGGGGCAGGGCCGGUGAAGGUGUUGGCGCAUAUCGGGUAUUGCGCAUUUUUUCACAUAACUGCACCGCAAAAGAGGCGCCCAUUAGGAGAGCGAGCAAGUGGGUGAUGGUUCCCGCGCGUGAGCACGAGCGGCAGUGGGGGUAGCGCAUACAUGGAAAGUGGCCCAGCCCCCCCCCCCCCCCCCGGGCCACGCCGCUACCCACGGUCUGUCUGCCGGAGCCUACGCCGCACUCACCCACCUCGAAAAGCAGGUUUGCAGGCGCUUGGCGUCCCCUAUUGCGGGGAACUGAACCGCAGCGCCACGUUGAGGUGGCCUGCUUCGCUACGGAUGCGCCUUGUUGGAGGCCACAUGCGUAAACCUGCACCCGCACACGCGCGCGUUGCCCAAUGCACGAGGCCAGUGCGCUCAGCAUCAUCAAAGUGGAAAGAGUAAUCUGGCUGCUAGUCGAAACGAGUAGGCGCACGCCUGUAGUCGAGCGGGCUGCGUCAUGCUCGUUUUGCUGAGUUUUGUUCUCGUUCCUCUGGUGGUUCUGUAUGCGCGUUUGUCAAAGUCACGUAAAGGCAAGAACGGGAUAGAAGUGCCAGAGAGCAGCGAUCAUCUGUGACGACGGAGGCGAGAUUUUCGAUGGGAGAUGCAGCAAAGAUGACGGUGGCGGUGCGCCCGCUCCCCCUCCCUCUUCCUACCCUUUUUUUUGCUUGCUGCUCUCGCUCUCUUCCUAUGCUUCUCCGUGCCCCGUGCCCUUCUCCCUCCACUUCCACCGUGCGGCACUUGGUUCGUUUUUUUUUUUCAUAUUUAACUCCCUCUCUUUUGCUUUUUCCUGGAAG
rnacentral:misc_RNA from 1 species